GGGUUGGUAAAUUUCGUGCCAGCCGCCGCGGUCAUACGAUUAACCCGAGUUAAUAGGCACACGGCGUAAAGCGUGUUAAAGCACUAUACUAAAUAAAGUUAAAUUCCAAUUAAGCUGUAAAAAGCCAUAAUUGCAACAAAAAUAAACAACGAAAGUAACUUUACAGCCGCUGAAACACGAUAGCUAGGACCCAAACUGGGAUUAGA
rnacentral:rRNA from 1 species